rnacentral:rRNA from 1 species
AGCGAACGCUGGCGGCAGGCCUAAUACAUGCAAGUCGAACGGCUCUUCGGAGCAGUGGCGGACGGGUGAGUAACGCGUGGGAACGUGCCCUUUGGUUCGGAACAACACAGGGAAACUUGUGCUAAUACCGAAUGUGCCCUUCGGGGGAAAGAUUUAUCGCCAUUGGAGCGGCCCGCGUUGGAUUAGCUAGUUGGUGGGGUAAUGGCCCACCAAGGCUACGAUCCAUAGCUGGUCUGAGAGGAUGAUCAGCCACACUGGGACUGAGACACGGCCCAGACUCCUACGGGAGGAAGCAGUAGGGAAUCUUGCGCAAUGGGCGAAAGCCUGACGCAGCCAUGCCGCGUGAAUGAUGAAGGUCUUAGGAUUGUAAAAUUCUUUCACCGGGGAAGAUAAUGACGGUACCCGGAGAAGAAGCCCCGGCUAACUUCGUGCCAGCCGCCGCAGUAAUAC